UUGUAUUUGUAUUAUGUACCAUGUAUUUGGCGACUCAGAAUAGGUGAUGUAUACCUAUUUUGGGGGAGUCACAAUACCGGUGUCGAGUCUUUGUUGCGAGAUUGAACUGACUUACACGGCUGCUAUUGUAGACUGAACUUUGUUGUAAGCUGCAGAUUCCCCUCAUCUGUUAAAGCAUCUAAUUCAGGUAGAUAUGAAGCAACUCCAGCCAAAGGUUCACUAACAUCUGGAAAGGAAAGUUGCUCACUAACAUCUGGAAAGGAAAGCUAUUGCGGAUUGUAUUAUCACCGAAAUCAGAUUUGGAUUGGCAAAUCGGCAAG
rnacentral:lncRNA from 1 species